rnacentral:rRNA from 1 species
CGUAGGGUGCGAGCGUUAAUCGGAAUUACUGGGCGUAAAGCGUGCGCAGGCGGUUAUGUAAGACAGAUGUGAAAUCCCCGGGCUCAACCUGGGAACUGCAUUUGUGACUGCAUGGCUAGAGUACGGUAGAGGGGGAUGGAAUUCCGCGUGUAGCAGUGAAAUGCGUAGAUAUGCGGAGGAACACCGAUGGCGAAGGCAAUCCCCUGGACCUGUACUGACGCUCAUGCACGAAAGCGUGGGAGCAAACAGGAUU